UACGAAGGGGGCUAGCGUUGCUCGGAAUCACUGGGCGUAAAGCGCACGUAGGCGGAUUGUUAAGUCAGGGGUGAAAUCCUGGAGCUCAACUCCAGAACUGCCUUUGAUACUGGCGAUCUUGAGUCCGGGAGAGGUGAGUGGAACUGCGAGUGUAGAGGUGAAAUUCGUAGAUAUUCGCAAGAACACCAGUGGAGAAGGCGGCUCACUGGCCCGGUACUGACGCUGAGGUGCGAAAGCGUGGGGAGCAAACAGG
rnacentral:rRNA from 1 species